AGUGAACGCUGGCGGUAGGCCUAACACAUGCAAGUCGAACGGCAGCACCCGAGCGUUUGCGCUCUGGGUAGCGGGUGGCGGAUGGGUGAGGAAUACAUCGGAAUCUGCCCAGUCGGGGGGGAGAACGUGGGAAAACUUAUGCUAAUACAGAAUACGACCUUCUGGUGGAAGUGGGGGAUCGCAAGACGUCGCGCGAUUGGAUGGGCCGCUGUCGGCUUGGCGAGGUGGCGGGGUAAUGGCCCACCAAGGCGACGAUGCGUAGCUGGUCGGAGAAGAUGACCAGCCACACUGGAACUGAGACACGGUACAGACUCCUACAGGAGGCAGCAGUGGGGAAGAUUGGACAAUGGGCGCAAGCCUGAUCCAGCCGUGCCGCGUGGGUGAAGAAGGCCUUCGGGUUGUAAAGCCCUUUUGUUGGGAAAGAAAUCUUUCAGGCUAAUACCCUGGGAGGAUGACGGUACCCAAAGAAUAAGCACCGGCUAACUACGUG
rnacentral:rRNA from 1 species